ensembl:lncRNA
GGAACUCAAAAGAACGAAGUAAUCAUCUUAUCGCAGCUGGGAGAGAAAUUGUAAACUUGGAGUGCCAAUUAUAAAACAGUCCGACUUUCUGGUUGGACCAAGCAGCUAUAUUCCUGCCAAUCUGAUUUCUGCUCUGCCCCCUGGUGGUGGCCCCAGGCCUAGCGGUAGCAGGAAAACAGGUGAACAAUUUAAGGUAUUUCCGGAAACGGAGGUUGGCGACUCAGCCUUAUUUACAUACCCACAAUGCAUUGCACAAGGCUAUUUCCUACUUUAAAAAGCUGGAUUCUUCGUUUCCUUUUGACUUUUUUCCCCCCUAAAAAGACCCUGCUUUCAACAGAAUUGUCUGAUAUAGAGGCAGAAACCACUGGCUCUUUUGGGUAAAUAAUUACCAUUGCUGCUCUAGGAGUUACAGUUACCCGAGGACUGAGCGUGAUAAAUACCUGUAUACUCUAGUUUCUCUUCAGAUCGUGUAAAUCUUUCGCCUUUUACUAAAGAUUUCCGUGGAGAGGAACAAUUCUGAGUUUUUACCCAGUUUUUUGAGGCCUUGCACUUGCAAGGCUUAUAAAGCUGUACUAAAAAUAGAGUUGUGUAGUAUGUAUGAGUUUUCUCGUCAAAUAAGAAUUUAGAACCGUGUUCACUUCCGUCGUUGGUGGUGUCUUUCAUCUUUUUUUCCGUGUUAGUGGCAGUGUUUUCAAGAGAGUUUACGCGGUGACGGAUUUCAGAGGGAGUGUGUUUCGUGUUUUUUCUCGGUGCGUCCGUGUUCUGUGCAGCUGCCGUGUUCUUCCUGUGUUGUCCUGCUCCUCUGGGACCCGUUUUCUUCCCUGCGGGUCUCGUCAUUCAUUUCUGCCGCAGCACUGGCCACCAUGACCCACGUGUGCACUUCAGAGAAAAGGCUGUAACUGUCCGUUCGCCCGUCUGGCGUCGGAAGCUGACCCAGCGCCAGGAACAAAGCCCAUGUGUCGCCUGCGUAGACGGACGAAGGGCGCAUGGGUCUCUCUACCGCUCCAACGGUUCCCUUAGUGUGAAGGUCGCUCAGGGUGGUCGUUACAUCCCUACCUAGUAGGUUGUCUAGAAAAAUACUCAUGUCUCAGGCAUCCUUUGGAUUGCAGCUUGUUCUCGCGGAACGUUCUGGAGGUCAGAAGUCUAAAAUCGAGGUGUUGGUGGGACUGCAUUCUUUCUAGAUGCUGCAGGAGAGAAUGUUUCCUUGCUUUUUUUGGCUUCGAGAAGCUGCCUGCAUUCCUCGGCCGGUGAGCUCUUCCUUGCGUCACUCCAACCCUCUUGCUUCUGUCAUGCCAUCUUCCAGUGGUAACUCUGGGACCCCGCCUCCCUCUAAUAAGGACCCUUGUGAUUUACCUCAGGCCCCUCUGCAUAAUCCAGGAUAAUCUCUCCGUCUCAAGACCCUUAACUUCAUCACACCUGCAAAAUCCCUUUUACCAGGUGAGGGAAGAGUCACAGGCUCCAGGGGUAGGGUGGGGACGUAUUUGGAGGCCAUGACUCUGACCACCACAAUAAUGAUAUUGUAAUUAUGUAGGAGAAUGUUCUUAUUCAUAGUAGAAACAUAAUGUGAAGUAUUUAGUGGUGAAAUGUCAUGAUAUCUGAAUCUUUCAAACAGUUCAGUAAACACACAGAGAGAAAGCAAGUGUGUCAGAGAGUCUAGGUAUACAAUUAUUCCUUUUAUUAUUCUUUCAACUUUUUUGUAGUUUUGAACUUUUGAAAAUAAAAAGUUGGAGGAAAAGAAAUAUAUAUUGAUAAAUUCCAUGUAAUAUAUGCUUUAGAUACUUGCAUUAUACCGAAAAUUUCAUUUUAAAAAGUUCCCUUUAUUUUUUUUGAGGAAGAUUAGCUCUGAGCUAACUACUGCCAGUCCUCCUCUUUUUUGCUGAGGAAGCCUGGCCCUGAGCUAAAAUCGUGCCCAUCUUCCUCUACUUUAUACGUGGGACGCCUGCCCCAGCAUGGCUUUUGCCAAGCGGUGCCAUGUCUGCACCCAGGAUCUGAACCGGCAAACCCCAGGCCUCCCAAGUGGAACGUGCGCACUUGACUGCUGUGCCACCGGGCUGGCCCCAUUGUUUUUCUUAAACUAUGAUCGCCUUGGACCAGUGGUUUCUAGAUGUUUUGAUUUUCCAAUUAUUAAAAUUUCCAAAAAAUUUCUGGUGUACUGCUUUUUACCAUCAUUCUACAAAAGAAAGGCCAUUUCAAGACUAAAAACAGUAAGAAUGACUUGACCCCAAAUGAAAGGACUUUUCUUUGAAACAGGAAAUCCAUUUAGCUUUAUGGAAAACACGACUAUGUUUUGUUAACUUCUCUCUCUUCCCUCGACGCAAAUAGAGGAAAGCUGAGGGUCGACAUCAGUUUGGGGAAGGCUGGGGGCGGGGGCGGGGCUUAGACUAACAAUAUCAGGGCCUGUGGUGCCCUCUUGUGGCAGCCUGGGGAGUUACUUCCACCUGACCACUGCCUCUGCUUUGGAGGGACAACUCCCUCACACACCUCAGUCAGUCAGUCAUGC